GGUUAAGUUAUCAAGGGCGCAUGGUGAAUGCCUUGGCACUAGGAGCCGAUGAAGGACGGGACUAACACCGAUAUGCUUCGGGGAGCUGUAAGUAAGCUUUGAUCCGGAGAUUUCCGAAUGGGGGAACCCAGCAGUUUUAAUCGACUGUUACUAUUAACUGAAUACAUAGGUUAUAUAGAGGUAAACGCAGGGAACUGAAACAUCUAAUUACCUGCAGGAAUAGAAAGAAAAAUCGAUUCCCUAAGUAGCGGCGAGCGAACAGGGAAGAGCCCAAACCAAGAAGCUUGCUUCUUGGGGUUGUAGGACUGCUCAUUUGAGUUACCAAAGAUUUUCAUAGUAGAAGAGUCUGGGAAGACUCGCCGUAGAGGGUGAUAGCCCCGUAUACUAAAUGAAAGUCCCUCAGAGCAGUAUCCUGAGUACGGCGGAACACGAGAAAUUCCGUCGGAAUCCGGGAGGACCAUCUCCCAAGGCUAAAUACUCCCUAGUGACCGAUAGUGAACCAGUACCGUGAGGGAAAGGUGAAAAGCACCCCGGAAGGGGAGUGAAAUAGUUCCUGAAACCAUGUGCCUACAAAUAGUUAGAGCCCGUUAAUGGGUGAUAGCGUGCCUUUUGUAGAAUGAACCGGCGAGUUACGUUUGCUUGCGAGGUUAAGUUGAUAAGACGGAGCCGUAGCGAAAGCGAGUCUGAAUAGGGCGCCAUAGUAAGUAGACGUAGACCCGAAACCAAGUGACCUACCCAUGUCCAGGUUGAAGGUGCGGUAAAACGCACUGGAGGACCGAACUCAUGUAUGUUGAAAAAUGCUGAGAUGAGGUGUGGGUAGCGGAGAAAUUCCAAACGAACUUGGAGAUAGCUGGUUCUCUCCGAAAUAGCUUU
rnacentral:rRNA from 1 species